rnacentral:tRNA from 1 species
CAGUAUGUAGUUUAUUCAAAAUUUAGUGUUUGGGACAUUAGGAAUUUUUACUGA